CUAACCCUCGCCGUCAGAGCCCCUCGCCGGAGAAGACAGCCUAGUCACCGGGGAGCCAACUGCUGCCGUACCGGAGUAGUUUCCGACUGCCAAAUGAGGUAACAAUUCUACCAUUUGCUCAGAAUUUGAUUCUAAACCCACCUAUGGACAAAUCGGAGUGAAAGUACCGGCCAAUUGGCCGGAAAACGCCGUCAAAACUCAAUGACACUGCUGCAGGGUGUUUCGAUUUUUGCCUCCGAUGAGGCCCUUUCCAAUUCCCGUUCGAUGUGAUUUUUCCACCGUUGUGAUC
rnacentral:lncRNA from 1 species